rnacentral:rRNA from 1 species
UACGUAGGUGGCGAGCGUUGUCCGGAAUUACUGGGCGUAAAGGGAGCGUAGGCGGUCUUUUAAGUGGGAUGUGAAAUCCCCGGGCUCAACCUGGGAAUUGCAUUCCAAACUGGGAGACUAGAGUGCAGGAGAGGAAAGUGGAAUUCCAAGUGUAGCGGUGAAAUGCGUAGAGAUGUGGAGGAACACCGAUGGCGAAGGCAGCCCCCUGGGUCGACACUGACGCUCAUGCACGAAAGCGUGGGGAGCAAACGGG